GCGCGACCCUUUUCCCUUAUCCCUCUCCUCUGUACUCUGGACCCUCUCUCCUUCCUUCCCAACUCCGCCGCUCUUCCGCUUCGUCUUUUUCCUUCACAGCGACCUGCAAGUUGCGUGUGUGGAAACCCUCAUGGUUUGAUCAAGAAGUACGGCCUCAUGUGCUGCAGGCAGUGCUUCUGCAGCAAUGCCAAGGAAAUCGGCUUCAUCAAGUACCGUUAAGUGGCUGAUAUUCAAACAUUCCAGGAGUCGAUGAUUUGGCCCAAGAUAAGUACUAGUAGUAGUGGUUUCUGAGUUCUCAUCAACUUUUAAGAAGAUAUUUUUGUUUUAGCUGAUCUGCUGUUGAACUUGAAUUGGUUGUCAGACUUAAGAAUAUUUGUUAUUAAUGAAUUAAAGUUUGAUUUAUGUUCU